rnacentral:rRNA from 1 species
CACAUACAAUAAGCGGAGGAAAAGAAACCAACAGGGAUUGCUCUAGUAACGGCGAGUGAAGCAGCAAUAGCUCAAAUUUGAAAUCUGGCGUCUUCGACGUCCGAGUUGUAAUUUGUAGAGGAUGCUUCUGAGUAACCACCGACCUAAGUUCCUUGGAACAGGACGUCAUAGAGGGUGAGAAUCCCGUAUGCGGUCGGAAAGGUGCUCUAUACGUAGCUCCUUCGACGAGUCGAGUUGUUUGGGAAUGCAGCUCUAAAUGGGAGGUAAAUUUCUUCUAAAGCUAAAUAUUGGCCAGAGACCGAUAGCGCACAAGUAGAGUGAUCGAAAGAUGAAAAGCACUUUGGAAAGAGAGUUAAAAAGCACGUGAAAUUGUUAAAAGGGAAGGGAUUGCAACCAGACUUGCUCGCGGUGUUCCGCCGGUCUUCUGACCGGUCUACUCGCCGCGUUGCAGGCCAGCAUCGUCUGGUGCCGCUGGAUAAGACUUGAGGAAUGUAGCUCCCUCGGGAGUGUUAUAGCCUCUUGUGAUGCAGCGAGCGCCGGGCGAGGUCCGCGCUUCGGCUAGGAUGCUGGCGUAAUGGUCGUAAUCCGCCCGUCUUGAAACACGGACCAAGGAGUCUAACAUCUAUGCGAGUGUUCGGGUGUCAAACCCCUACGCGUAAUGAAAGUGAACGGAGGUGAGAACCGCAAGGUGCAUCAUCGACCGAUCCUGAUGUCUUCGGAUGGAUUUGAGUAAGAGCAUAGCUGUUGGGACCCGAAAGAUGGUGAACUAUGCCUGAAUAGGGUGAAGCCAGAGGAAACUCUGGUGGAGGCUCGCAGCGGUUCUGACGUGCAAAUCGAUCGUCAAAUUUGGGUAUAGGUGCGAAAGACUAAUCGA